rnacentral:rRNA from 1 species
UACGGGGGGGGCAAGCGUUGUUCGGAAUUACUGGGCGUAAAGGGCUCGUAGGCGGCCAACUAAGUCAGACGUGAAAUCCCUCGGCUUAACCGGGGAACUGCGUCUGAUACUGGAUGGCUUGAAUCCGGGAGAGGGAUGCGGAAUUCCAGGUGUAGCGGUGAAAUGCGUAGAUAUCUGGAGGAACACCGGUGGCGAAGGCGGCAUCCUGGACCGGCAUUGACGCUGAGGCGCGAAAGCCAGGGGAGCAAACGGG